rnacentral:misc_RNA from 1 species
GAUGAAGAACGUAGUGAAAUGCGUUAAGUAAUGUGAAUUGCAGAAUUCAGUGAAUCAUCGAAUCUUUGAACGCACAUUGCGCCCUCUGGUAUUCCGGGGGGCAUGCCUGUUCGAGCGUCAUUACAACCCUCAAGCUUUGCUUGGUAUUGGACAUUGCCAGUUUCUGGCAGGUCUUAAAAUCAGUGGCGGUGCCAUUUGGCUUCAAGCGUAGUAAUUCUUCUCGCUUUGGAGAUCCAAGUGGUUACUUGCCAAUAACCCCCAAUUUUUUCAGGUUGACCUCGGAUCAGGUAGGGAUACCCGCUGAACUUAAGCAUAUCAAUAAGCGGAGGA